ensembl:lncRNA
AGAUCCUUGCUUACCUGUGGCCUUCUGAAGCUGAGGUCUGCUGCUGGUUGCCAGUGUAGUAAUGAGGAAAGUCACUGCCUUUCAUCCCAGAAUGCAAUAACUGAAUGACUCUCAACCAUGCACUCGUGAAACCUCACUGUAACUUCUGCAUAUGAAACUCCAUUGACUCAUACUUUUAUAGUUUUCUCCUUGCUGUGAAGUUGAAAACGGAAGAUUUGUAUUAGAAAGCUGAUGCAGAUCCGGUCCAAUCUAUCGUUCUGAUUUUUCAAACACCUGAGCCUGAAGCGGGGAAGCUUCUUCAUCUGUGUUCUUACACAACCUCUAUCAAGCAUCAGCUGGUCACAUGGGCAAGAUUUUCAAAAGUGGCCACUGAUUAUCUGUUUCCUUUAUAAUACAUGACUUUUCAGGCAGUACUGGCACUGAUUUUCUCAGUUAUAAGAAAGAGGGGCUGGAAGAAAAUUUGCAGUAGGGGACACAUAGAACUGGGACAAUCUGGAGCAAUGAAGAGGAGAGGGAAUGUAUAUAGCAGCUGGGAAAGUGGUGCGAGUGGAGAUGAAUUGGUGUCCAGUGUAAGGUGGUAUAUAGUCCCAGCACUUCUCAGAGCAUCUAACCCAUGCGCCAGCAUUUCUCUGACAAGAUUAAAUAACAAGUAAAGGUUUUCACAGUGAGAAUCCUAACUUUUCAUUUGAUUGGAUUUUAAUAAGGCAC